CGAUCCCUGAGGCCAGGUCAGAUCAUUGUCCCCAAGGGUAAAGGGCUGAAUUGCGUUCCCCUCAAAACUUAUGUUCAAGACCUAACCCCCAGUCCCUGUGAAUGGGACCUUAUUUGGAAGAAUCCUUUGCAGAUGGAAGUGAAGGACCUUGAGAUGAGACGCCCUGGAUGCAGCAAACCUACCAGCACAGUCGAACUUGCCUCGGCGCCAACACAGCUUAACCUUCAGGGCCCCUCACUUGCGAAGACCCUCUUCUGCAGCCCAGUUCCUGUUUGCGUAUUCCUUUUGUCAAAGGGGCCCCCUCCGCAGAUGGGGAAAGUAUUGGGUCCCACACACUCUGGCUCCCUCCCUGUUGCCACCAGGGUACAGCACACAGCCUGCAGUAUAGACGCUUCCGUGGGUUUUCUGUCAUCUGAACAUCCACCCAGCCAGUCCUCCGUGUCUUCAGCCAAGCUGGAUUAUCGAGUCCCUGCUGUCUCGGGAUGUAACUUGGAAAGAGAACCAGAGACAAUUUGGAGGCAAAGUAAAUGGGCUGCAGCAAGAUGCGCAUGAAGAAAGAGAGAGGCUGAAAGGGGAACCUGAGCAGAGAGUGGUUGUUCUACCUGGAAAUCAUGACAGCCCCACCAAGGAGAUAACCUCCAGUCUGGGCUUUUAAGGAUGGGUAGGAGUUCGCCAGGAGACAAGGGGGAGGACAGCUUAGGUCGGGGGCACUGUGCGGGCAAAGGUGUGGGACAGCCCCUGGCCCUGGGGCAGCAGUGUGCGACAGCCUGCCUGGCCCAUGGGGCCUGCAGGAUGAAGAGAGAGGGAAGGGCCGGGGCUGGGCCUGGAGUCCUGGGGCAGGGAGAAGUAACAGGUGUGAGGUCCGCAAACGUGGCAGCUUAAAAUGAGAAGAAUCUCCUUCCUCUGAAGGCUGGGGCAGGGGGUGGGGGUGAGGUGUUUCCAGGCCCCUUCCAGCUGCUGGCUGUUGUGGCAGUUCCAUUGUCCAGCCCCUUGCAGCUGCACCCUCCAGUCUCUGCCUCCCUCAUUACAGGACCUUCUCCCUGUGUCUCUCUGGGUCCCUUCGCCUUUUUUUUUUUUCCAGCUGCACCCACAUCAGGCAGAAGUUCCCAAGCCAGGGGUCGAAUGCGCUCCACAUCUGUAAGUAACCAGAGCCACUGCAGUGACAACGCCAGAUCCUUAACCCACUGAGCCACCAGGGAACUCCCCUUCUCCUCUUCUUAUGAGGACACCAGCCAUAGUAGAGACGUUACUAAUCAGGUAAUUCAAUUACAUCUGCAAGGACACCAGAGUAUUUCCAAGUAAGGUCACGUACACAGGGGCCUGGGCUCAGGGCUUCAAUGACCUUUCUGGGGACACAGUUCAACCCACAACAGGGAGGAGGAACCACAGGACUUGGUACUGAUUAGAUGGACCUUAUGGCCUGAAUGGUCUACACGGCCUCCCUCCCACGGCACAUGUUGAAAUCCUGAUAGCCUUGUGACCGCGUCGGAGACAGGGCCUUUAGGAGGUGAGGACCGCGGCUGUCUGCAAGCCAGGAAGAGAGCUCUCAGCAGAAACCUCGUGCUGCCAAAACCUUGAUGUUCCAGCCUCCAGAACCGUGAGAAGAAAGUUUCUAUCCUUAAGCCCCCAGUGUGCGGCAUUUUAUCACGGCAGGCUGAGCUAAGACAAUGGGGUUGGGGCUGGAUGAGCAGGCAGCAGAGCGGAACUGAGGAGGAAUUCCCCAGGCUCGGAGGAAGCUCUGACCCACAGGUGCUGGUCCCGAUGGCCCGGCCAGGAGCUGAGGUUUUAGGGAGGAACUGGACUCGGCCCAAGGCUUCCAGGAGCUGCAGGUCAGGCAGGGAGUCAGGAAGGGGCCCAGGCCUGCCAGGUACAAUGAUGCAGGUGGUGGCUCAGGGACAAGGGGCCAGGACAAUCGAAGCGGCCCCAAGGGGCAGGGAGGCCCCAGGAAGGGGCCAUCAGAACAGUCAAGAACCCGGUCGUUGGCACUUCCUCCGGCCUAACUACUCAGCGUUGUCUCUGCAGCAGCUCUGGAUCAGUCCCUGGCCUUGGAACUUCCACAUGUCGAGGGUGCAGCCAAACACUUUAAAGAAAGAACUCUUGCCUGCUCUGACUGAUGGCUCCCAGGCCAGGGAUCAGAUACGAGCUGCAGCUGCAACCUGCGCUGCAGCUGCAGCAACGCUGGAUCCUUCAACCCACCAUUCAUUCUUAUGCCGCUUAAAUGUCACCUCCACUACGUGCAGAAGCUCGAUGGACUUGAGCACAUAGAUCGGGCAACAUUUGGGGGGUUUGGCCUCACAGAUGGUCGGCUCUCUGGGUUGGCAAGUUCCUGCCUGGCUUCCUUUGCUGUUGUCACGGAGUUGCCGUUGCCAUGGCGUCUGUGUGUGCACGGGGGACCAUCGCGCAUCUCCUCAGCUUCGGGAGCACGCAUCCAGAGCCUGGGAAGACUGCGGAGAGAGAAGAAGGAGGCGUGGCGUGUGGGAGGGAGUCCACCUGGGCGCCUCGUGUUGACGGAGCCGAGAAAAGAGGGGUGGUACUGUGCCGCCCCUGAACCAGAAGGGAGGGAUGGAGGCAGAGGUGCCUGCAGGGCCUGCCGGGCCCUCAGCUGUAGAGGCCUGGGGAGGGGGGGUCAACCGAGGGCCUUCUAUCUGGCCUUCUGCUGCCCCUCCUUCGCAACCACUUCCUGCCACUGUCCCAAAGUCACGGCAAAUGCAGCCCAGGAGUGAAAUACUGCCGAUUUAAUCUGUGCCUCUGAUAAACAAAUGAACAAGUGUUUAAGGUUCUGCCUGUGAGGCUCUCUUCCCAGAGUUUUAGGUGGCCAGCUCAUUCUCAGUAGUCUGGGUUUUGCUCAAAAUUUAUCUUUUUUUUUUUUUUUUUUUUUUUUUGCUUUGCUUUUUAGGGCAUAUAGAAGUUCCCAGGCGAAGGGUUGAAUCAGAGCUUCAGCCACCAGCCUCCACCAGAGCCAUGUCUGCAACCUACACUGCAGCGCAUGGCAGUGCCAGAUCCUUAACCCACAGAGCGAGGCCAGGGAUUGAACCUGCAUCCUCAUUGUUACAGGUGGGGUUCAUUACUGAUGAGCCAUAACGGGAACUCCCCAGAAGUUAUCUUUAGAGAAGGGCCUUUUCUGAGCCCCUAUCUGUCUGCCAGAGCCCUUUGCUUUCUCUCUCAGCAGUGUGCAGUGCCCAGAACGAUCUACCUGAGCUGCAGGCAUGUGUGUACCGUGUGGCAGGUACGCGUGUCACUAGCUCGUCGCAAGCACUCAUCACGUUGCAUGCGUACGCGGUGACCAGGCGUGUUCCGGAAUCACGGUAGAAUCUCAGUGUGAGUCCAUUGGAGAGAGAUUUUUUUACUGCUGCGUGACCCUGGGAGAGUCCCCUAGGCCGAGGUCCUGGUCUGUAAAAGGGAGAUUGCGUGAUUAUUGAGAGAAGGUGGCUCUAAAGCAUCCCCCGAAGCCCCUCACAGAGUUCACCCCGCCUGGUCUCACCUUGCCCUGAGAAGCUGGCCGAGCUGGGCUCCAGCCUCCCACUCCCCAGGAAGGGAAGAGUCUGGAGCCCGUGGUGGUCAAGGGUAGCUGGGAGAGACUUGUCUGCGGGGAAGGAGCUGGGAGGCCCAGUGGGGGCGGGGGGCUGCCUCUGUGGGCUCCCUGCCUUCCCUCCCUCCUGGCCGGGGCUCCUUCCAGGGCUCUGCUGAUUGGGCACCAGGACCAGGGCCUUACCCUGGCUCUCCCAGGGACUGGGGCCAGGACAGGGUACAGGAAAGCCUGGGGAAGGGCAGGACUGGGGCCUCUGGGCCUGCCUUCUCCAGAGCUGUCUUCCCUCAGGGGCAGCGGGCCCUCCAUGGACCUCAGGGGCCCUGGGGUUGCUCUGCCUCCUCCCGGACCUGUGGCUGUGUGCCAGCCCAGAGCUCGACUUCCUCCCCUGGGUCUCCCAUGCCUGCUGCUCACUCAGGGCUCCUCCUGCCUUUCAACUUCUGCUCCCACCACCACCUCCAGCAUUGUCUCCCUGUCCCCAGUCCAAAUUCCUGGGCAGAUCAGCUGGCCAGCUGGCC
rnacentral:lncRNA from 1 species